ensembl:lncRNA
UCUCCGUCUUUUCAUUUUUAUAGGUUUUUUGGUGUGGUGUCCUUUUUGCAGACAAUAGAGGUGUAGCUUCUCUUACUUCUGGUGUCUGCCUACCUUGUGGCUGAAGUUGCAAGGUCUCUGCCAGUCAUGGAAGUGGCUCCAUGUCUGACAUCUUCCUGCGGUGCCUUCUGAUUGAACAGAUCGGCUGCAGCCCAUUGGGUGAACGGUCCAGUUAGCUAAGAGAAUCGUGGAGGUUUCUGUCGAUUGCACCAUUUGUUGAGAGAUGGAAGCUGAGCCAGUCUAUUGAGAACUAUAGUCAGAGGAAGGGGCACAGAGUUAAGAGCCUAAACAACUAAAACUGGAGAAAGAGUUGCUUUAGUACUUUGCUUUCUGGCAAAAUUGUUACGUUGGGACAUUAAGUCUUUUAAAGAAUCACCCCUGACUCCUUUCCUUUCAAAAUCCUUCUCUUGACUCUUCCUGUUGACUGGAAAAAAAAAAAAAAAAAGUACCAACUUUAAACUUCAUAGUUGUGUUUUGUCUCACCAACUCACUGAGGACUUCAGCCAUGGACACAGCCUCUCAGAUAGAUCUAAGGGACUAUUCCAAAGAGAUCCUACCUGAUUUCUCUCGUGGAGGUGGCCGCCCCUGGAGAAGACAUCUCACAGAAAAGGCCCCGGAGCCUCGGCUCACUGGGGACUUCCAGAUGAAUGGACAAUGAAAAUAUGGCAUAUAAUCCACUGGAACAUUAUUCAGCCUUUAAAAAGAAGGAUGUUCUAUCACAUUCAAGAACACGGAUGGAACUUGAAGCCAUGAAAGUGAGAUGCUUGCAUGUCAAAGAGUCUGACAACCGUAGAAGCUCUUUAGAAGUUCAAGAAUGGAUGAAGAUAUGGGAUAUGACCUCUUGAGGGAGAUCUGGUUUGUUAUAUGCUUCCACUUGUUUCUCUCAAACUAUCUGGGUGGGGUUUUUUAUUUUUUAUUGUUUGUUCAGGUUUAUUGUACCGAAGGUUUUUUCCCCCCCACUUUUUAUUAAAGUAUAACAUUG